AUUGAACGCUGGCGGAAUGCUUUACACAUGCAAGUCGAACGGCAGCACGGACUUCGGUCUGGUGGCGAGUGGCGGACGGGUGAGUAAUAUAUCGGAACGUAUCCAAUAAUGGGGGAUAACUAGUCGAAAGAUUGGCAAAUACCGCAUACGCCCUACGGGGGAAAGGAGGGUAUCUUCGGAGCUUGCGUUAAUCGACCGGGCGAUAUCUGAUUAGCUAGUUGGUGGGGUAAAGGCCCACCAAGGCGACGAUCAGUAGCUGGUCUGAGAGGACGACCAGCCACACUGGAACUGAGACACGGUCCAGACUCCUACGGGAGGCAGCAGUGGGGAAUUUUGGACAAUGGGCGAAAGCCUGAUCCAGCCAUUCCGCGUGAGUGAAGAAGGCCUUCGGGUUGUAAAGCUCUUUCGCAAGGGAAGAAAACUUAGCCACUAACAUUGGCUGAGGUUGACGGUACCUUGAUAAGAAGCACCGGCUAACUACGUGCCAGCAGCCGCAGUAA
rnacentral:rRNA from 1 species